rnacentral:rRNA from 1 species
AUAUCAAUAAGCGGAGGAAAAGAAACUAACCAGGAUUCCCCUAGUAACGGCGAGCGAACCGGGAAUAGCCCAACUUGAAAAUCUCCCUAUGGAGAAUUGUAGUCUAUAGAAGUGCCCUCAGGGGCGGAUGAGACCCAAGUCCGCUGGAAGGCGGCGUCAGAGAGGGUGAGAACCCCGUCGGUCUUGUCUUAGCUCCAUCACGAGGCGCUUUCCACGAGUCGGGUUGUUUGAGAAUGCAGCCCUAAAUUGGAGGUAAAUCCCUUCUAAGGCUAAAUACCUGCGAGAGACCGAUAGCGCACAAGUA